rnacentral:rRNA from 1 species
UUCGCAAUGCCCGAAAGGGUGACGAAGCGACGCCGCGUGUGGGAAGAAGGCCUUCGGGUUGUAAACCACUGUCGGGAGUUAAGAAAUGCAAGAAUGUUAAUAGCGUUUUUGCUUGACUAAGGCUCCGGAGGAAGCCACGGCUAACUCUGUGCCAGCAGCCGCGGUAAUACAGAGGCGGCAAGCGUUGUUCGGAAUUAUUGGGCGUAAAGAGCACGUAGGCGGCUAUAUAAGUCGGUUGUGAAAGCCUUCCGCUCAACGGGAGAACAGCAUCCGAUACUGUGUGGCUUGAGUGUGGGAGGGGAGAGCGGAACUUCUGGUGGAGCGGUGAAAUGCGUAGAUAUCAGAAGGAACGCCGGCGGCGAAAGCGGCUCUCUGGCCCAUAACUGACGCUGAGUGUGCGAAAGCUAGGGGAGCAAACGGGAUUAGAUACCCCGGUAGUCCUAGCCGUAAAC